rnacentral:rRNA from 1 species
AUGUACAUUCCUACAACAUAGCUUUAAUGCAUCAGAUCCCAUUAGAACUCUACAGUUAAGCACAUUCAGGCUAGAGUAGUACUGGGAUGGGUGACCGCUCAGGAAAUCCUAGUGUUUUACAUG